rnacentral:rRNA from 1 species
UCUGGGACAAGCCCUGGAAACGGGGUCUAAUACCGGAUAAUACUUUCCCUCUCAUGGGGGAAGGUUAAAAGCUCCGGCGGUGAAGGAUGAGCCCGCGGCCUAUCAGCUAGUUGGUGGGGUAAUGGCCUACCAAGGCGACGACGGGUAGCCGGCCUGAGAGGGCGACCGGCCACACUGGGACUGAGACACGGCCCAGACUCCUACGGGAGGCAGCAGUGGGGAAUAUUGCACAAUGGGCGAAAGCCUGAUGCAGCGACGCCGCGUGAGGGAUGACGGCCUUCGGGUUGUAAACCUCUUUCAGCAGGGAAGAAGCGAAAGUGACGGUACCUGCAGAAGAAGCGCCGGCUAACUACGUGCCAGCAGCCGCGGUAAUACGUAGGGCGCAAGCGUUGUCCGGAAUUAUUGGGCGUAAAGAGCUCGUAGGCGGCUUGUUGCGUCGGUUGUGAAAGCCCGGGGCUUAACCCCGGGUCUGCAGUCGAUACGGGCAGGCUAGAGUGUGGUAGGGGAGAUCGGAAUUCCUGGUGUAGCGGUGAAAUGCGCAGAUAUCAGGAGGAACACCGGUGGCGAAGGCGGAUCUCUGGGCCAUUACUGACGCUGAGGAGCGAAAGCGUGGGGAGCGAACAGGAUUAGAUACCCUGGUAGUCCACGCCGUAAACGUUGGGAACUAGGUGUUGGCGACAUUCCACGUCGUCGGUGCCGCAGCUAACGCAUUAAGUUCC